CCUACGGGCGGCAGCAGUGGGGAAUAUUGCGCAAUGGGCGAAAGCCUGAUGCAGCGACGCCGCGUGUGGGAUGAAGGCCUUCGGAUUGUAAACCACUGUCAGCAGGGAAGAACGGUCACGGUGCUAAUCAGCAGCGAAUUGACGGUACCUGCAAAGGAAGCACCGGCUAACUCCGUGCCAGCAGCCGCGGUAAUACGGAGGGUGCGAGCGUUAAUCGGAAUUACUGGGCGUAAAGCGCACGUAGGCGGUAUGUCAAGUCAAGGGUGAAAUCCCCGCGCUCAACGUGGGAACUGCAUGUGAAAGUGGCAAGCUGGAGUGUGGGAGAGGAGAGUGGAAGUCCAGGUGUAGGAGUGAAAUCCGUAGAGAUCUGGAGGAACAUCGGUGGCGAAGGCGACUAUCUGGCACAUGACUGACGCUGAGGAGCGAAAGCGUGGGUAGCAAACAGGAUUAGAUACCCGAGUAGUC
rnacentral:rRNA from 1 species